rnacentral:rRNA from 1 species
CCAGACUCCUAUGGGAGGCAGCAGUGGGGAAUAUUGCACAAUGGGGGGAACCCUGAUGCAGCGACGCCGCGUGAGCGAUGAAGUAUUUCGGUAUGUAAAGCUCUAUCAGCAGGGAAGAAAAUGACGGUACCUGACUAAGAAGCCCCGGCUAACUACGUGCCAGCAGCCGCGGUAAUACGUAGGGGGCAAGCGUUAUCCGGAUUUACUGGGUGUAAAGGGAGCGUAGACGGCUGUGCAAGUCUGGAGUGAAAGGCAUGGGCUCAACCUGUGGACUGCUUUGGAAACUGUGCGGCUUGAGUGUCGGAGAGGCAAGUGGAAUUCCUAGUGUAGCGGUGAAAUGCGUAGAUAUUGCGCAGAACUCCGAUUGCGAAGGCAGCCUACCGGCUCCUGUCUGACGCUGAGGCACGAAAGCGUGGGUAUCGAACAGGAUUAGAUACCCGCGUAC